GCUGAACAAGAAUAAGGAAAAGAAGAGAAAGCCUGUGAGCUGAGUUUGGAGAAGAGAAUGCCGAGGAACUGUGGGAGAGGAGAGAAUAUAAAGUGGAUUGGCUGGAGUGAGAUGAAAAGAGAACUUAACUACUCUGCAUUUAAAAACUGAGGAUAUCGAGAUUCCUGGGUAAACCCAAGAAAAUAAAUAAAGGGGACCAGGUAUCAGGUGAGGAGAAAGGAGAUUUUGUGUGGGGAGGUGUACAUGCAUGUGCACAGACACGCGUUGUUGGGGAUCAGGUCUUAGGAGAGCACUCAGAGGCUUUUGAGCCUGAAGACAAGACAAACAAUGAGAAAAUGUAGAUGGUGGUAUAUUGGCCAAGGGGCUUUGAUUACCUGAAAUGUUAAAUUCAUGCAGAAUUUAUAUUGUUUGAAGAAGAUGGAUAAUUACACAUCUCUUUCUCACUGAGAAGAAAGCAUAAGACAGAAAUAAAAAGUGAGAAAGUGAUGCACCCCCCCAAAUUAAAACAUUUUAUUGCACAUUUCAUUUUAGUUUGCCAUGCUGUGACUUAAGUUUCUUCACGAUCCCAAAUCCCUUCGUAAGUGUUAUAUUACUUCAAGAAAAAAAAAAUGUCUGGUCCAGAUAAUUUAAUAAUAGGAAGAAAGAAAAACCUACAAGAAGUAAGUAAGAUGAGAAUGAGAUAGAUAAUUUACAUGAAAGCAAUAAGAGGAAGACGUGAGAAGCAAAGUUGCAAGA
rnacentral:lncRNA from 1 species